GGAAAGCUGCAGUUCCGCUGUUAUAACACAGGGAGCAGCCUGGAGAAUUUUGAGCUGCGUCACAGAGCUCUGAGAGAGUGAGUGAGUGUGAGAGAGAGAGCAAGCUCCCUCGAUAGGUCUACUAGCAACAGCCCUGCUGCAGCAAGGGGGGAGAGAGAGAGGCAGCAAGAGAGAGAGAGACAGAAGUAAUAACAUCAUGGACUGGGCUUCUGCAACCGGCCAGCUUAAUUUUUAAAAAAUUUAUUUUGGCUUAAUUGAUAUUGGAGGGUUCGCCCAUUGACGAUGCUGGAGACAUGAUGCGUUUAAUCCCGCGGGGAGGGAGGGUGGGCAGACGUCGGAAGGGUUAACGGGAAGAAAAUUCUGGAACAUUCUAUUCUGCGGCGCUGCACAGCGAGCGAACGAAGGGCUACGGAUUGCGCAGAUGUUUAACGGGCAGAGGUCUUCGGCUCGGGGUCCGUCUUUCCCACGGUCAGUUAUGCAAAGUAACAAAAAGCAAGGGAAGAAUGUGACAAACUCUUCAAAGUGGUUUGUUAUGUUAUUUAUGCAAAUAACACAGCCAGAACCAAGUAUUUCAUAGCUUGAAUUACUUCAGUGACAGGUGAGUUUCCUGUUGUUGCAAAAUAAGCCACAGUGACAUGUAAGUCAGGCCAGAGGAAAGUGAUAGACUUUUAUGCAUCUUUCUCUUCCUUCUAAGGAUAUUAAGUUCUUAUUAUUGACCAACACCACAAGUCUAGGAGGGACCUGGAAAAGAGGGUAAGGAGGCCAAGACAAACAGGAAGACAUUUUUUUCAUAACUAUUUUUUGCUAUCUUCGCACCCUCCCCUGCCUCCUCGAAGUGAUGAUAAUGAAGAUUUCAGUUCUGCUCUGACGUUCUGUGAACAAACCAUUUGAGCUUGGAUCAUCUUGCUCAGAAAGCCAUCCGGAUUCUGAAGAGGAGUAGUAACUUGCUUGAUCAUUCAGCAGGGAGAGUUAUUCCUUAUCUCUUUUUCAUGUGAAGUGACUUCAAGAAUAUGGGGGUAUAAGCAUUUAAUGUAUAACUUACCGACAUCUAAAGGGCCAAGUAUAGAUCAGAUGUAUUGUAUUCUCUUUCUUGAUUUCUUUUAUAAUAGUUUGUCUCCUAAGGUGCAUCCUGAUUUUUAUAUAAUGUAGAUACAUGCGCACACACCAUUCCAACACUGAUUUCAUCAGGUCUUAAAGAGCACCUGCCUUGCUCUCUUGCUUCCAACUCAGUGUCUUAGGGCAAUAAAAAGGAGGGAGUAGACCAUUUCCAAAGAGGGAGAAGUGGUAGGAGACAGGAGGAGGGAAAACAACAAGCCAGAGGGGAUAACUGAUUUGCUCUCCUCUUUCCCUUCUCAUGCCCAUCUCUGUUUUUCGCCUCUCCCCCCUCUUCCAAGGUUCACGGUGAAUUUGAAAUGCUCUUACUGCGGUUGCUACUGCCCCUGCUGACUCGCUGAUCCCUCACCCUGUGGAUUUGUCUCCCGUGGAGUCUCCUUGCUUCCUGCAGUGCCAGGUCCGCAGAGCAGCGGAACGGCAGUAACAAUAUGUGUCUGUUCGUCUUACUGCAGAGCACACAAUACGUAUACGUAUAUAGGCACAGUACUGCAGUUGCAUUUGUACAAGGCAGCAGCUGGGUUAAGAGCUGUUGCUUGGGAGAAUGAGAUCGAUCUUGGAAUAACUGUGCUCGUGCCCAGAGAGAGGUACCUUCCACAGCAGGGUGGACUAUCAGACCACCUCCUGCAAGGUCAUUCAGCUGUCUCACCAUCAACCACUAACAGCUGCAAUUUCCCUUCACUUAAUUUCAACCCAUCGCUCCUUUUAAAGCCUGUGUCCCUGCUCAAGAAGAACUCCCACUGGAAACUUUUGAACCAAGUGGGAAGAUUGUCUCGGCCUGUUCCUGUCCUGUGAAUAGAUAAUGCUGGAGUAUGGAAGGCUAUCUGUCGCUUUUCAUCAGCAUUAAGUUCACUGAAACAAAAAUAGUAAUGGCUAGCCUAUCUCUGACUUUUCACGUUCAGCCUAGGUUGAUGAGGCUGCUCACUGAAAGAGUGCUGCCUGACCUCGUGGGCAUCCUGUAUUAGAUGCCCAAGCAAGCCACAGACUUUGGAAAGAACAGCAUCAGCUAUCAGAGAUUCCUCUUUCAUGAAAGGAAACUUGGUGCAGUUUGGCAAAGGGACACAAUAUGUGAAACUAACAAGGAUGCUCAGAGUUAAGAAACACAAGAAAGGCUGAAGAUAAGAAGGUUGCAUUUUUGUCUGCUUUCUGAAAAGCCUUGAGAUUGAUUCUCCCCUGCCUUUCCCUUUGUGUCAUCAUUAAUUACUCC